GGUUAGCUAGAGGAUUGCUUUCUCGCUUGGUACCAAAUACUGGAGCCCCCCGGCAGCAUCCAUUCAUGGCAUGAUAAUAACUCAAAAGUGCCGACAACAUUCGACGACAAGUGCCACUGUUGACGCACCGUCAAGCCGUGCUUGUGAAUAGACAGUCAACUGACAAGGGUACCCUCUAGGAAGUAGGACAAUAAAGCCAAGACCACCAAGGAUGGAUUAAUCCAACAGCUUCACAGGAUGCCUGUGGUGCCUUUGGACCCAAGCGAACAAAGACACAAAAGGAACCCAGUGAGAAAGCAUUGCUCUGCUGGAAGUCUGCAAUCACUACCGUGGUCAGCUUCCUUUAGAAUGACAACAUAUGAUACUGGGAUGGUGAAAAAUAAAAUAAUAAAAAAGGGAGUGUCGAUGCAGUUAGGCUUUAGAUGUUUGGAAAAUUGCAGUUUUUGAUUAUUUUAAAAUUAAAUCUUUUUCAAUGAAUUUUUGGUAUGGACUUAAAAUGAAGAUGGUUUUGAAGUGUUUGGAAACGUGGACUACUGUACAGUCCUUAACUGCCUUGGCACUACUGCCCUCAUAUGGACAUUGAAGGUACUGAUUAGAGCACCCACUUUUGGACAGGGAGAUAGACGCUGGCUGUAUUUGAAUUCGGGGUCUAUAUCCUACUAGGCCAGUAGCUUACCCGGUC